UCCCUGGUGGCUCAACUGAUAAAGAAUCUGCCUGCAAAGCAGGCGGCCCAGGUUCAAUCCUUGGGUUGGGAA
rnacentral:tRNA from 1 species